rnacentral:rRNA from 2 species
GGGUUGUGAGGUUAAGCGACUAAGCGUACACGGUGGAUGCCCUGGCAGUCAGAGGCGAUGAAGGACGUGCUAAUCUGCGAUAAGCGUCGGUGAGGUGAUAUGAACCGUUAUAACCGGCGAUUUCCGAAUGGGGAAACCCAGUGUGUUUCGACACACUAUCAUUAACUGAAUCCAUAGGUUAAUGAGGCGAACCGGGGGAACUGAAACAUCUAAGUACCCCGAGGAAAAGAAAUCAACCGAGAUUCCCCCAGUAGCGGCGAGCGAACGGGGAGGAGCCCAGAGCCUGAAUCAGUGUGUGUGUUAGUGGAAGCGUCUGGAAAGGCGCGCGAUACAGGGUGACAGCCCCGUACACAAAAAUGCACAUAUUGUGAGCUCGAUGAGUAGGGCGGGACACGUGGUAUCCUGUCUGAAUAUGGGGGGACCAUCCUCCAAGGCUAAAUACUCCUGACUGACCGAUAGUGAACCAGUACCGUGAGGGAAAGGCGAAAAGAACCCCGGCGAGGGGAGUGAAAAAGAACCUGAAACCGUGUACGUACAAGCAGUGGGAGCCUCUUUAUGGGGUGACUGCGUACCUUUUGUAUAAUGGGUCAGCGACUUAUAUUCUGUAGCAAGGUUAACCGAAUAGGGGAGCCGAAGGGAAAGCGAGUCUUAACUGGGCGUUAAGUUGCAGGGUAUAGACCCGAAACCCGGUGAUCUAGCCAUGGGCAGGUUGAAGGUUGGGUAACACUAACUGGAGGACCGAACCGACUAAUGUUGAAAAAUUAGCGGAUGACUUGUGGCUGGGGGUGAAAGGCCAAUCAAACCGGGAGAUAGCUGGUUCUCCCCGAAAGCUAUUUAGGUAGCGCCUCGUGAAUUCAUCUCCGGGGGUAGAGCACUGUUUCGGCAAGGGGGUCAUCCCGACUUACCAACCCGAUGCAAACUGCGAAUACCGGAGAAUGUUAUCACGGGAGACACACGGCGGGUGCUAACGUCCGUCGUGAAGAGGGAAACAACCCAGACCGCCAGCUAAGGUCCCAAAGUCAUGGUUAAGUGGGAAACGAUGUGGGAAGGCCCAGACAGCCAGGAUGUUGGCUUAGAAGCAGCCAUCAUUUAAAGAAAGCGUAAUAGCUCACUGGUCGAGUCGGCCUGCGCGGAAGAUGUAACGGGGCUAAACCAUGCACCGAAGCUGCGGCAGCGACACUAUGUGUUGUUGGGUAGGGGAGCGUUCUGUAAGCCUGUGAAGGUGGCCUGUGAGGGUUGCUGGAGGUAUCAGAAGUGCGAAUGCUGACAUAAGUAACGAUAAAGCGGGUGAAAAGCCCGCUCGCCGGAAGACCAAGGGUUCCUGUCCAACGUUAAUCGGGGCAGGGUGAGUCGACCCCUAAGGCGAGGCCGAAAGGCGUAGUCGAUGGGAAACAGGUUAAUAUUCCUGUACUUGGUGUUACUGCGAAGGGGGGACGGAGAAGGCUAUGUUGGCCGGGCGACGGUUGUCCCGGUUUAAGCGUGUAGGCUGGUUUUCCAGGCAAAUCCGGAAAACCAAGGCUGAGGCGUGAUGACGAGGCACUACGGUGCUGAAGCGACAAAUGCCCUGCUUCCAGGAAAAGCCUCUAAGCAUCAGGUAACAUCAAAUCGUACCCCAAACCGACACAGGUGGUCAGGUAGAGAAUACCAAGGCGCUUGAGAGAACUCGGGUGAAGGAACUAGGCAAAAUGGUGCCGUAACUUCGGGAGAAGGCACGCUGAUAUGUAGGUGAAGCGACUUGCUCGUGGAGCUGAAAUCAGUCGAAGAUACCAGCUGGCUGCAACUGUUUAUUAAAAACACAGCACUGUGCAAACACGAAAGUGGACGUAUACGGUGUGACGUCUGCCCGGUGCCGGAAGGUUAAUUGAUGGGGUUAGCGGUAACGCGAAGCUCUUGAUCGAAGCCCCGGUAAACGGCGGCCGUAACUAUAACGGUCCUAAGGUAGCGAAAUUCCUUGUCGGGUAAGUUCCGACCUGCACGAAUGGCGUAAUGAUGGCCAGGCUGUCUCCACCCGAGACUCAGUGAAAUUGAACUCGCUGUGAAGAUGCAGUGUACCCGCGGCAAGACGGAAAGACCCCGUGAACCUUUACUAUAGCUUGACACUGAACAUUGAGCCUUGAUGUGUAGGAUAGGUGGGAGGCUUUGAAGUGUGGACGCCAGUCUGCAUGGAGCCGACCUUGAAAUACCACCCUUUAAUGUUUGAUGUUCUAACGUUGGCCCGUAAUCCGGGUUGCGGACAGUGUCUGGUGGGUAGUUUGACUGGGGCGGUCUCCUCCUAAAGAGUAACGGAGGAGCACGAAGGUUGGCUAAUCCUGGUCGGACAUCAGGAGGUUAGUGCAAUGGCAUAAGCCAGCUUGACUGCGAGCGUGACGGCGCGAGCAGGUGCGAAAGCAGGUCAUAGUGAUCCGGUGGUUCUGAAUGGAAGGGCCAUCGCUCAACGGAUAAAAGGUACUCCGGGGAUAACAGGCUGAUACCGCCCAAGAGUUCAUAUCGACGGCGGUGUUUGGCACCUCGAUGUCGGCUCAUCACAUCCUGGGGCUGAAGUAGGUCCCAAGGGUAUGGCUGUUCGCCAUUUAAAGUGGUACGCGAGCUGGGUUUAGAACGUCGUGAGACAGUUCGGUCCCUAUCUGCCGUGGGCGCUGGAGAACUGAGGGGGGCUGCUCCUAGUACGAGAGGACCGGAGUGGACGCAUCACUGGUGUUCGGGUUGUCAUGCCAAUGGCACUGCCCGGUAGCUAAAUGCGGAAGAGAUAAGUGCUGAAAGCAUCUAAGCACGAAACUUGCCCCGAGAUGAGUUCUCCCUGAGACUUAGAGUCUCCUGAAGGAACGUUGAAGACGACGACGUUGAUAGGCCGGGUGUGUAAGCGCAGCGAUGCGUUGAGCUAACCGGUACUAAUGAACCGUGAGGCUUAACCUUACAACGCCGAAGCUGUU